UUAAGAGCUAGCAAACGAACUCAAACCGGAUCGACGUCCGGCUCUGAAUUCUAGAAAAUCGACAACCAACCUCAGUGUCUAAGACCGAGAGGGGGGCGAAGAAGCGUUAGAGACAAAGGUUGGUUCUCAGUUUUCCUGAAUGUACUAGUGAGAGACCUCCAAGUUGAGUUUGUUUGCAAGCUCUUGAACGUUUUGUAGCAAUAUUUGUUUGGCAUAACCUAUAUAGAAAUCUCUUCCUAUGUUGCUUUGUGGCAAAUGUUUAUACCAGGUACUAGUAGUGUAUAUUAUACAUAUAAAUAAACAACACAAACUGACUUGUAGUUGGUGAAUCAUAACCAAUGGGGUGGUGGUCCAUUGGCAAAGACAAGACCUUUUAAACACCUUGAGAGGAGGAGGUCUUGGGUCAAGUCCCACAGACAACAAUUUCAAAAAAAAAAGUUGAUGAAUCAUGGAGUUGACAAAGCGUUGUGAAGAACAUGAAAGAAAUUCCAGAAGACCAUCAAAGGUUUUGAUAUGUUGGCUGUGGGCGGCGAUGAUGAAAAAAACGCCGAUUUUGAUGACGAUGGCACGGCAAGGACGGCGGAAGGACGUUAGGUACCAUGGACAAGGAACUUGCAUAUCUUGAUGGCUGGAGUGGUCAUGGGUCGUGCUACUUGGAUAUACAAGACUGUUUACUGAUUUUCACAUACAUUGGUUUUGAAACAUUGAACAGUGCUUUACUAUUUGUUUCCGCUGAAUGUAUUUGAAUUGGAUUAUGU